UCUGGCGGCAGUAGCGCGGUGGUCCCACCUGACCCCAUGCCGAACUCAGAAGUGAAACGCCGUAGCGCCGAUGGUAGUGUGGGGUCUCCCCAUGCGAGAGUAGGGAACUGGGAACUGCCAGAC
rnacentral:rRNA from 1 species